GAGGUACAAAAACCCAGGGCACCAGGUGACACGAGUGGGACUGAUUAACAAGGAAACACAGGUGAGUGUGAUUUCACUAAUCAGCCCCAAACAAACAGACAGAAGAGAAGGACGGACCUCACAGUGAAGUGCAGUAAAAUACAAGUCUGUUUCAGUACAGUAUAUUCCAGCAGUUUAAAUGUUGGCAAAGUUGGGUUUGGUUCCCUGCAGCACACAGUGGAAAUAUAUGAUGAAAUAUAUAAGAUUAGUACUCUGAACUGCAGUGUAAAGCAGUGUCAUUGAAUGUAAAAUUGAGUGGUACAGUGGUUGGCUUAGUGGUUAAGGAAGCUGACUUGGGUCUGGAAGUCUUCAGGUUUGAGUCCACCAAGUUACCACUGAGUUUGUGUGUACUGUAUGUGGUCGGUGGUUCUUUUGAGCAACAACGAGGACCCGGCAAAGUCACCGUGCUCCGGGUCCCCGGCUCGUACAUCUGGCACCCAUUCGGUUUGAGGAGGCGAGUGCCAACAGCAACGCACGGGGCUACAGACCAAACAACACUCUCAAGUUCAGUGACAGCGAGUGCAUGACAAGCAAAAUGGAAACCUUUUGACAGAGAAUGAUGGAAGGAAAUGAUCAUUUGGGCAAGAAGAUCAAGGCGAGGCAUCGUUUCGUUCGAGUGCUCAGUAUCUCAUUUCAGGAUGAAGCUGCAACAUCUUGAAUGUGACUCUCGGUGAAUGGAAAACUCUGCGGCAGUGGUCCACGUCUGACCUCUGGGAUGUGCUAAUUCUGCGGCUUUGCAGAGAUUUAACAGUUGUCAUGAAAAUAUUAAAUUUGGACCGCUGCAUCUGGCAGUGACACAGUGAUGCCACUACAUCACAAUGCUGCCGAGGAGCGGUGACUCAUUCGUGAUGAACAUCUGCAUCGUAAAAUAAAAGUGUGGCCUCGUCCGUGUCGCUG